rnacentral:rRNA from 1 species
AUGGAUCUAACCUAUGAUCCAGGCCAUGGAAAGGUCCCACAUUGGGAUUUCAAUCCUGGCCUUGUGGUUGCAGAUCAGGUACGUCGAAGAUUUGGAGGAAUGGUCCAUUUUUCUCCUUCUCGCUCAAUGAAGGGGUUUUUCUUGGUGGUCUCUUUCUCCUCGGCAUCCUUCCCUCUCUCUGAAGAUUCUGUGGGAGUGGCCCUUCAAUGUUGCAUUGGA